rnacentral:rRNA from 1 species
UACGUAGGGUGCGAGCGUUAAUCGGAAUUACUGGGCGUAAAGCGUGCGCAGGCGGUUCGUCAAGUCUGAUGUGAAAGCCCCGGGCUCAACCUGGGAACUGCAUUGGAUACUAGCGAGCUUGAGUGUGGCAGAGGGGGGUGGAAUUCCACGUGUAGCAGUGAAAUGCGUAGAGAUGUGGAGGAACACCGGUGGCGAAGGCGGCUUUCUGGACACUUACUGACGCUGAGACGCGAAAGCGUGGGGAGCAAACAGG